GAUGAACGCUGGCGGCGUGCCUAAUACAUGCAAGUCGAGCGAACAGACGAGGAGCUUGCUCCUUUGACGUUAGCGGCGGACGGGUGAGCAACACGUGGGUAACCUACCUAUAAGACUGGGAUAACUUCGGGAAACCGGAGCUAAUACCGGAUAAUAUUUCGAACCGCAUGGUUCGAUAGUGAAAGAUGGCUUUGCUAUCACUUAUAGAUGGACCUGCGCCGUAUUAGCUAGUUGGUAAGGUAACGGCUUACCAAGGCAACGAUACGUAGCCGACCUGAGAGGGUGAUCGGCCACACUGGAACUGAGACACGGUCCAGACUCCUACGGGAGGCAGCAGUAGGGAAUCUUCCGCAAUGGGCGAAAGCCUGACGGAGCAACGCCGCGUGAGUGAUGAAGGUCUUCGGAUCGUAAAACUCUGUUAUUAGGGAAGAACAAACGUGUAAGUAACUGUGCACGUCUUGACGGUACCUAAUCAGAAAGCCACGGCUAACUACGUG
rnacentral:rRNA from 1 species